GGUCAGUAUGGUACUGGUCAGUAUGGUACUAAUCAGCAUGGUACUAGUCAGCAUGGUAGUAACCUGUUAAAUGUUAAUAGAAAUGAUAAGAUAGAUAAUAGUUUAGGUAAUAGUAUGUGUGUUGAUUUAAGUAACAGUAUUUGUGGCAGCGUAAGUAACAGUAUUAGUGAGAGUUUCAGUAGUAGUAUUGGUGAUAAUCUUACUAACAGUAUUAAUAAUGUUAGUAGUAGUUUUAACAAUAGUGUUAAUAAUGUUAAUAAUAACACAGAUGAUAAACGUAAUUCCAUAAAUAUACGUUCCACAUUUAAAUCAAGUGGUAAUAAAAUAGUUAGUUUUGUAAAUGACGAUGGUAAUUUAGAGUCAAAAAGUAAAAAUGACACCAAUAUAUAUAACGAUAAUCCAUCAAUAAAAAAUGGUAAAAAAGAAAAUAUAGAAAAAAAGAAAACAGAACAAUAUAAACAUGCAAAUUCUACAGAUGUGAAUAAAACAAUAAGUAAAACGGAAUCUUACGCACAAAAGAAUAACGAAACAACACAUUACAAUAAUAAUGGUACAGAGAAUGACAAAAAAUUAACAAACGAAAUGUUAGAAAGUAAAUCAUAUGUUUUGAAGUCAUCUGAUAAAUAUAAUUAUGAAAAGUUAGCAAACAGUAUGAAUAACAAAAUGAAUAGUAAAACCAUUUUAGACAGUAGAAACAGAAAUCAGCAUCAAAUGAAUAGUAAUAUAAAUAGUCACAAUUUAAAUGAUAGUGCUAUAAUAACUAAAAGUAAUUUAUCAAAACAUGAAAGUGAAGGAGAUAAUAAGCAAAAUAGACAAGCAACAAGUAAUAAUGAAAAUAAACCAAAUCGAUCAAAUCAUAUAACACAAUCAAACCAAGUACGAAAAGAGAGUACUAGUAUACCCGAACACAGUUUUACUUUCAAUCAAUCAAAUAAAAGUCAUAUAAAAUAUAAUGAGAAUUAUGCAAACGAAAAUAGUAAAGACUUAACACAUAAAAGUAAUUCAAUAAAACAUUCAAAAAGUGACAUAAAAAUAAUUAAUGAUAUGGGUAACCCAGCUAAAUAUAUGACAACAUUAGUUGAUAGUUUUGCAUCAGAGUUUUCAAACAAAAUAAACCAAUUAAAAAAUAGCAUACUAAACGAAAAUGAAAGUUUAAUAGGUUCACAAUCUAACUUAGAUGUAUCUAUAUACAGCAUUACAGAAUCAAAAAAUCAAACAGAUUUAAUGAAAAGCUCAUUAAUAUAUAAAGAUAUCCAAAAAAAAUCAUUUUAUUAUUUAGAAGAAUCGAUUACAAAUCAAAUGGAUAUAAAUAAUGUCACCCAAAGUGACAAAAACAGUUUCGCAAACAACAAAAGCAACUUACAAAUGAAUUCGAUCCACAAUAAUAUAAAUGAAAAUAAUAUGAACGGUUCAUAUAAUAAUAAGUUAGAAAAAUCAAAAAAAUAUUUAACAUCAUC
rnacentral:lncRNA from 1 species